CUGCUGCAAACUCAGCUGCCAUCUAAUCAUGUCCCAAGAGCCACACCCUCCUAGCUCUUACUUCACAGACAAAGGGCUGUCUGGAAGUUGAAAGUAUAUUUUAAAGUAUUUCCAUCUAGUGUAUUUCAAGCUAGUUCUCAAGAUAUGUCGCCCUUGGUUAGGCUAGGUUAAGUGUACCGACUGGGCUAAUAUUAGGGGUUAUUCAGUAUACACAUCACAUAGUAGACUUCUUAGGGCCCAGGGCUAAGACUAGCAGAACGCAGAUGGGACCAGAAACCGCUCACUUGCUUGGAAGGUCAAGUCAAUUCAAGUAAUAAUAAGUGUUUGUGACACCUGCUAACCCGAAGCCCUCUGAAGGGCACAGAAAAGUACUCACCAAAAACAAGAGGAACCAGGAGGUGGAAGCAUUGCAGCUCCUCUAUUCACUCCACUGCCAGCCUGUGAUUGCAUUCUUGUGUGUGAAUACACCUCGUUUUAUAUUCGACUUCAUUUCCAACCGGAUGAUUGUGACUGAGCAUGGAGGCCCGUGCUGUUCCACCAGAGGGACAUUCAGAUGAAGAGUGGGGGUCCACGUCGUCUCUAUCACUCUGGUAUAGCAGCAGAGACACGAGAGGCGCCUCUAAACCAAAAUCACUCACUCCUAUCCCCCCCCCCCCUUUGAAUAAAUUGGUGCCGGCUUUCUGCGGUGCUGGCAGGGGAGGAAGAAGCCAGGAUUAUCUUGCUGGUCGAUGAGCGCUGAUAGAGCUGUUGGAGAGGAGACAGAACUUUCUGGAGGGUUACCCUGAGAGUCUGAAGGUCAGGAGACCCAUGGCCCACCGAUGGGGUCUUUAAUAGGGGGAGGAUGGCAUUGGUUGAGCGCUCCCAUUCCAGCCCUGAUCGAUAACUCGCUUUAGGGCAAUUCCACCUCAAGUACCCGGUAACCGCCAGGGGACUACAGGCAUGUAUAAGAUGUUACGCCACUUUUACAGCCUUGUGGUCACAAUGAGGAAUCGACUUUCAGUUCGAAACGAAGGAAAGAGUCUUACCCUUAAAUAGGGAAGUCAAAUUGUUUUAGUGACACUAAAAUCAGUGCUAACUUCUUGGACACUGAUUGGCAUAGAGCAAAGAUUUGAAUAUUCGUAAACGUGUCAUCUCAGAUCUCUCUGAUUUCUCGUAACCAGAGUGAAAGAAUAACGCAAUAUGUUUUUUUUUAAUGAAUGCACCAAGCAGUUAAAGCAGUAUGCCUUUGGAGGAGGUUAUUAGAAUUUGAAGGAAUAACAAAUCCUUUCAGAGAAAUCAGCUCGCACUGUAGUGAUAAAGUUGAGCAAUUAUAUUAUUGGCCACCUACAGUGUGUCUGUUGCUAAUUAGCAUCAACCUAUUGUAGGAAGAGCCAAAACCACGCAGGUAUAAGCUAAUUGUCACUUCGGUUUUAUGAAUAAUGGAGUAGCUGGUACUUAUUUCAAGGACUCGAUCGGCUUGUAAUAAAGAAAUCUGUGUGGGAAAAAUGUCAACGUGUUCUUUGGAAGCGGCAUUGUUCUGUUCCCCGCAGCUUCGGGCUACGCUUUCAAAAUAAAAGCCAAGGCGAUUGCACGAUCCAAUCACGUCAAUCAACCAUUUUGCUGUGCGAGCAGAAAAACACAAAAAAAUCCAGCCUUCACAUUAUGACAAUGGUAACCAUGCUAAUGCGAAGUGGCCGCCGUUGUGAAGCCAUGUCAGCAGUUAUCUUCCUGGGACACCUUUUGGAGAGCACUGCGGAGGUUAUUGAUAUCCUGUCGUGGCGUGUCUCG
ensembl:lncRNA